GACGAACGCUGGCGGCGUGCUUAACACAUGCAAGUCGAACGGAAAGGCCCUGCUUGCAGGGUACUCGAGUGGCGAACGGGUGAGUAACACGUGGGUGAUCUGCCCUGCACUUCUGGAUAAGCCUGGGAAACUGGGUCUAAUAUCGGAUAGGAGCCAUUUUUAGUGUGAUGGUUGGAAAGUUUUUUCGGUGUAGGAUGAGCUCGCGGCCUAUCAGCUUGUUGGUGGGGUAAUGGCCUACCAAGGCGGCGACGGGUAGCCGGCCUGAGAGGGUGGACGGCCACAUUGGGAAUGGGAUACGGGCCAGACUCCUACGGGAGGCAGCAGUGGGGAAUAUUGCACAAUGGGCGCAAGCCUGAUGCAGCGACGCCGCGUGGGGGGUGACGGCCUUCGGGUUGUAAACUCCUUUCGCUAGGGACGAAGCUUUUUGUGACGGUACCUAGAUAAGAAGCACCGGCUAACUACGUG
rnacentral:rRNA from 1 species